rnacentral:rRNA from 1 species
GACGGAGCAUGCAAGCGUUAUCCGGAAUUAUUGGGCGUAAAGCGUACGUAGGCGGCUUAUCAAUUCUGGGGUCAACGACCACAGCUUAACUGUGGAAAGGCCUUGGAAACUGGUGAGCUGGAUUGAGGUAGGGGUUGCGGGAAUUCCCGGUGUAGCGGUGAAAUGCGUAGAUAUCGGGAAGAACACCUGAGGCGAAAGCGCGCGACUGGGCCUUAACUGACGCUGAGGUACGAAAGCUAGGGGAGCGAAUGGG